CCGUUUCUGCUUUUCUCAGCAGGUAAUGAUCAUAACGUUCGUAAUAUGAAUCUAAACAGGAACUAUUCAAAUUUUGAAAUCGGUGAACGUGAAUAUGUACCGCUGUUUCCGUUGAGUUUUUCGGUGUAAAUCUAAAAUUUUCUCAGCUCUAUUGCAUCUGAGUUAAAUUCUGUGGUUUUUUCGCAGCAUUAUUUUAGUAUUAUGCUAUGCAUAACGAUAACAGGGGAUCGAAGUUCUCUGUUUUUCUUAGCUGGUAAUAACCGAAACAUCCGUUUAUCCCCUGGAUAAAAGGCGUUAGCAUACAACUUUUUUAAAUCAACAAGCGUGAUUGUCGCUGCACAUUUUAAACUUUUUUUAUCAAUGUAAAUAGUAUAUUUUAUACGUACUUGGAUUUUUUUUUGUUCGUAGCAAAAACAGAGGAUUGUAUCGGCGGCUAAUUUGCUGUGAUGUGAAUGUGAAUUUUUUGUGUGUAUGUACAGGCGUGGAUAUGCAGCGGCAUCACAAGGUGCAGUUUCCGGUGUAGCAAAAGGAGUGCCAAGGAGCAACGUGAUGAUGCAAAAAAGUGGAGAGGAAUCGGUGAAGACUUCAUGGGUGCCAGAUCCAGUUACCGGUUACUAUAGGCCGGAAGGACAAGCAAAUGAGAUUGACGCUGCUGAGCUCCGGAAGAUGCUGUUGAAACACAGAUCUGGAAGCAACUGAAAAUCUUUGAAGCUGCGCCGUUGAUCUGCGGUUAAUCAUCGGAGAUUUUCGAUCAACGAGAAAAGAGAAUUUAGUGAAGGAACUGUUUUAUCAGAAAAAUAUAGCAGUGUGAAAUUUACUCGUGCUUUGUUGCUUUUAAAUUUUAAGCUUAUUGUUAUAUCUUUCUUUUAUUAGUAUCUUUUAUUCAUGCAAAUGAAAUAAUUAUAGUAUUAGUAUUAAUCUUCGGGCUUUAGAUCCAA
rnacentral:misc_RNA from 1 species